GAUGAACGCUGGCGGCGUGCCUAAUACAUGCAAGUCGAGCGAACGGACGAGAAGCUUGCUUCUCUGAUGUUAGCGGCGGACGGGUGAGUAACACGUGGAUAACCUACCUAUAAGACUGGGAUAACUUCGGGAAACCGGAGCUAAUACCGGAUAAUAUUUUGAACCGCAUGGUUCAACAGUGAAAGACGGUCUUGCUGUCACUUAUAGAUGGAUCCGCGCUGCAUUAGCUAGUUGGUAAGGUAACGGCUUACCAAGGCAACGAUGCAUAGCCGACCUGAGAGGGUGAUCGGCCACACUGGAACUGAGACACGGUCCAGACUCCUACGGGAGGCAGCAGUAGGGAAUCUUCCGCAAUGGGCGAAAGCCUGACGGAGCCACGCCGCGUGAGUGAUGAAGGUCUUCGGAUCGUAAAACUCUGUUAUUAGGGAAGAACAUAUGUGUAAGUAACUGUUCACAUCUUGACGGUACCUACUCAGAAAGCCACGGCUAACUACGUG
rnacentral:rRNA from 1 species